AGGCUGGUAAAGGAGGUGAACUCACACAUGAUGAGGCGACGAUUAUCAGUGGAGCAUUAGAUCUCACUCUGAAGACUGCAGAGGAGGCUAUGACACCAAUCGAGUCAACUUUUUCCUUGGAUGUUGCUUCAAAAUUGGACUGGGAAGCAAUUGGGAAAUUUCUUGAACGAGGUCAUAGUCGCAUCCCCGUAUACAAUGG